rnacentral:rRNA from 1 species
AGGAUGAACGCUAGCUACAGGCUUAACACAUGCAAGUCGAGGGGCAGCAUUGGAGUAGCAAUACUCAGAUGGCGACCGGCGCACGGGUGAGUAACACGUAUCCAACCUGCCGCUUACUCGGGGAUAGCCUUUCGAAAGAAAGAUUAAUACCCGAUGGUAUAAAGAGUUCGCAUGUUCUCUUUAUUAAAGAAUUUCGGUAAGCGAUGGGGAUGCGUUCCAUUAGAUUGUUGGCGGGGUAACGGCCCACCAAGUCUACGAUGGAUAGGGGUUCUGAGAGGAAGGUCCCCCACAUUGGAACUGAGACACGGUCCAAACUCCUACGGGAGGCAGCAGUGAGGAAUAUUGGUCAAUGGACGAGAGUCUGAACCAGCCAAGUAGCGUGAAGGAUGACUGCCCUAUGGGUUGUAAACUUCUUUUAUAAGGGAAUAAAGUGAGGGACGUGUCCCUUUUUGUAUGUACCUUAUGAAUAAGGAUCGGCUAACUCCGUGCCAGCAGCGGC